UAGAUGGCGACCGGCGCACGGGUGAGUAACACGUAUCCAACCUGCCCUUUACUCGGGGAUAGCCUUUCGAAAGAAAGAUUAAUACCCGAUAGCAUAAUGAUUCCGCAUGGUUUCAUUAUUAAAGGAUUCCGGUAAAGGAUGGGGAUGCGUUCCAUUAGGUUGUUGGUGAGGUAACGGCUCACCAAGCCUUCGAUGGAUAGGGGUUCUGAGAGGAAGGUCCCCCACAUUGGAACUGAGACACGGUCCAA
rnacentral:rRNA from 1 species